rnacentral:lncRNA from 1 species
GCAGAGGACUUAGCUGCAGGAAGAGCUCAGGCCCCCUCUUACAAGAUUGUUCCUUUUCUGGUGUUUACAAUUUCUGAAAGUGGAGAAGUGACGCUGCAGUAUUCAGAUGCUUUUGAUCCCAGAGGGAAAAACAGGAAGAAGAGUACCACAAGAGCGAUGGUUAACGUAUUCAGCUGAAGAAGAGGACCCAAAAUAACAUACUUACAGCAUCAUAUAUAUAGGAUAUGCUACACAGCAUUUGUAGAUGCCCUUGAGCUAAGAGCGUCCGACAGAUUUCGAUUAAAGGCCACUAGUCCUAAAGGAGUUUGUGCUCAUAGACCAGUUAUCUCUGUGUCCACUGUUACUUGUAAGACCUGGGAAGGUAGACGUUUCUGAUA